GCUGGGCGCGGUGGCGCAUGCCUGUAAUCCCAGGGCUCGGGAGCCUGAGGCAGGAGGAUCGAGAGUUCGAAGCUAGCCUCAGUAACUUAGUGAGGCGCUAAGCAACUCAGUGAGACCCUGUCUCUA
rnacentral:sRNA from 1 species